AAUGAAACUACACAGAACAGACAACCCUCAUCUGAACCAUCUAACCGCAUUACACUGUAUGUGACUCUGGCAGCUGCUCUGUUCCUGUUUUUGGUGACUUUGUCCAUUCUGUGCUGGAGAAAGAGAGGCAACAAACCAAAAGAGUUGAUCGAGUGCACUCAAAUACCAGAGAGAAACCAUGUGUAUGAGGAGCUGGCAACAGGUCCCCUCCAGUCU